rnacentral:rRNA from 2 species
GACGAACGCUGGCGGCGUGCUUAACACAUGCAAGUCGAACGGAAAGGCCCUUCGGGGUACUCGAGUGGCGAACGGGUGAGUAACACGUGGGUAAUCUGCCCUGCACUUCGGGAUAAGCCUGGGAAACUGGGUCUAAUACCGGAUAUGACCCCGAGGCGCAUGCCUUGGGGUGGAAAGCUUUUGCGGUGUGGGAUGGGCCCGCGGCCUAUCAGCUUGUUGGUGGGGUGAUGGCCUACCAAGGCGACGACGGGUAGCCGGCCUGAGAGGGUGUCCGGCCACACUGGGACUGAGAUACGGCCCAGACUCCUACGGGAGGCAGCAGUGGGGAAUAUUGCACAAUGGGCGCAAGCCUGAUGCAGCGACGCCGCGUGGGGGAUGACGGCCUUCGGGUUGUAAACCUCUUUCACCAUCGACGAAGGUCCGGGUUUUCUCGGAU